rnacentral:rRNA from 1 species
CCUACGGGUGGCAGCAGUAGGGAAUCUUUCACAAUGGGCGAAAGCCUGAUGGGGCAACGCCGCGUGCAGGAUGAAGGCCUUCGGGUUGUAAACUGCUUUUAUAAGCGAGAAAUAUGAUGGUAACUUAUGAAUAAGGAUCGGCUAACUACGUGCCAGCAGCCGCGGUCAUACGUAGGAUCCGAGCAUUAUCCGGAGUGACUGGGUGUAAAGAGUUGCGUAGGUGGCAUAAUAAGUAGCUAGUGAAAUCUGGUGGCUCAACCAUUCAGACUAUUAGCGAAACUGUUAAGCUCGAGACCGUUAGGGGUAACUGGAAUUUCUAGUGUAGGAGUGAAAUCCGUAGAUAUUAGAAGGAACACCAAUAGCGUAGGCAGGUUGCUGGGACGGUUCUGACACUAAGGCACGAAAGCGUAGGGAGCAAACGGGAUUAGAUACCCCAGUAGUC